rnacentral:rRNA from 1 species
UACAGAGGGUGCGAGCGUUGUCCGGAAUCACUGGGCGUAAAGGGCGCGUAGGCGGCCCGAUAAGUAGGGGGUGAAAUCUUGCGGCUUAACCGCAAGGCUGCCUUCUAAACUGUCGGGCUGGAGCACGGUAGAGGCAGAUGGAAUUCCCGGUGUAGCGGUGGAAUGCGUAGAGAUCGGGAAGAACACCAGUGGCGAAGGCGGCUCACUGGACUGGUAUUGACGCUGAGGUGCGAAAGCGUGGGGAGCAAACAGG